rnacentral:tRNA from 1 species
GUGUGUGUGGUAUAGUGGUUUGAGCAUUGGACUAUAACUCUGGAGACGAGGGUUCAAAUCCCAGCUCAGCCA